AGGUUGAGUGACCCCUUUAUCCCCACCCCCUCUUGCUGCUGUGAUUGGUUCAAAGGUGGGCCUCUAACUCCCCUGAGCCAAUGAAAUCCAAGGAGUCGUUUGCUGAGGCUUCUGGGAAAGGAAGUAUUUCUUCCACUUAGGCGAGCGCAGUCAGAGUUCCCUCUAUGUUCCCGCAGCCACGUGGCCUGAUAGCGUGAGCUCUGAUGCUUCCGCAGAUUGGGAGGAGCAAGCCUGGGCGCCUGCACGAGGGAGCUGUGCAGACCCAGAGAGGGAGGCUGUACCAUGCUGGGGAGUCAGGAGAGGACCCAGAUCUAGCGGACGUUGUUUGAACCCCCGAUCAAACCCUGCUUGAAGCUUGCCCUGUCUUUGCACUUUUCAGUUGUGCUAGCCUAUCAGUUAUAUAAAGCCUGUAAAGCACUUUAUUGUUCAAGCCAGUUUGAGUUGCAUUCUGUGUUACUUGGAAUAUAAACAGAUGACACCACAGCACAGUGGUGAUUGGAAAACCUGCAUUUUUUUUUUUUUCAGUGAUGUGUGUCUCUCCUGUGAGCUGUCCUCGAUGUACUAUGUAAGGUGUCCUUGGCAAAAAAUGACUUUUUCUGGUGUUCUUACUUUGUGUGUACUUCAAAAGUAUUGUCCUGGCAGUCUAAUCUAUAAAUGACAAGUCGUGCAUUAUUAAUGUGUUUUGUGUCCAGGGAAGGGCCGUUGGCGUGGGCCCCUCUCCCAGAGACCUGAAGGAUGGUGGACUCCAGAGCAUGUCCACUGACCCAUUCACAUGGAGUCCCUCUCUCCCUGGGAGGGCUUCCUGGAAGUGGUGCUGACUUGAGGGAAGAUAGCAUUUCUUUGUCCCUGCUGUUCUUUGGCGUUCUGUGAUGGGUUUGCUGAUUUGUCACAAGUCAUGCUGAACUGCUGGUGUUUUAGAAUCAAAUUGUGCCUCAAAGGAACCAGGAGCACCAUUAAGGAGGGACACAGGAGUCAGGACCGUGCAAGACACACAAAUGGGUUCGCAGUGAGCUGAUCCUGUGUCGGUGGCUUGUUACACCUAAUUCGAUAUCCUUGGUUUCCCACCUGUCAAGAAGGAGCCUUACUGGAACCACUGACUCAUGGAGGAGACUUCAUUUCAGGGUCUGGGACCGCCCCCUUUUCCCCAAAAUGACGCUCUCAACGAGCAAUUUGUGGAGUUGAUACUAAACAUUGCGGAGCCCGUCAGCCUUGAUUAUUGAAUUCUGCCCAAGAAGACUUCCUGGGAUCCCGAAGCAGAGGGGAUCUGGGAUUGCUUUGCUUUAUCCACAAUGACGCCCGCACAAUGCCCCUGGGCUUAGGCUCAGCCUGGUCUGCAAGGGCUCCCCAGAUGUGUGGCCCUGCUGGAAAGGGUACACUGCCGGAGGUGAGCCGAGGCAGACGAUGUCCUUCAGAGCCGACCUCUGGUACCUGAAAAGAAGUUGCCCAUGUUAUUUUCGCUUGAUAUGUGACGAAACAAACAUGGUGCACUUCUUUUUCGGUAUCGCAUAUCACCUUGAAGAGCUCCCUGGCCCCGGUGGAACCUUGGGUAAGGGGUUUUGGUGUCACUGCCUCUCUUGGUAUGUAUAUGGAGGAUUCACCCCUUGUCCACUGUGUGUUGGCGGGUUCAGGGACACUCAGUGUCCGGCCAUCCUCAGUCCCACGCAGGUACAGUUGAUGAGGCCUCGGUCGCAUGCCAGCUCCCCACUGCACCAUGUUUCUGGGUUCCCUGGUGAAGAAUGUCCCCAGCACUUGAAAGGAGCUCAGAUGAGAGCAGCCAAAAACAAUAAUACAGCUAAACAGUACCUGUAACAACAACCCAAACCAAGCAGUCAGUGAAAGCUGUCCCCCGCAUCCCUCCAGAGAUGGAUUUGGGUGCUUGCCAGGUGUGCAUUUUAACUGUGACACCUCGCCUGGUGGACUGUCACCCAACCAUCCACAGUAGAAUUGUUUGGGGACACCGGCUGUGGUGGGAGGCAGUGGUCGCCGUGGGUCUGGGAGGGAGGUUUUCCCAGAGCGGUCAUUUCAGUGGGACUGACCCUCCCCAGCCUGAUGUCUUCCAGGUUCGUCCUGCCUCAGAGGGAUGUGCUCCUCGAUGCCAUCAACACAGAAGUGACGUUGGUUUCGCCCCCACAUCGGGAUCAGCGAAUGACUGUGAGUGCAGAAGGUGCCUCAUGAAAGACGCCGCCAUCCGUGUCUCAGCCUCCACGUUCAGUCCAUGCCGAGGCCGUCCUCCUGGAGGAGCUGCCGCGGGCACCCGUGGGUGGUUCUGCUCUGUGCUCCUGGAAGAGAGGUUUUCCCAGGUGAAUUCAUUUUGUUUGUGACAGAUCGUUCUUGGCCAAUCUCUUUUCAGCAUCAAAUCCGACUUAGAGGGCAGGUCUCUUGAGCUGAGACUCUUGUGACAUCAGCACUCUCUGGGGAGGCGUUCCUGGGGCUGCGUCGGCCAGGACAGGAGGCUGCGGGGUUACGCUUGGAGCUGCACUUCAGCGCUAGACAGGAGACUCUCCGUGUUUCUUUGCUUUAGUUCUGAUGGAAAAUCCGGGUGCCCUCCUGUUGGAGUAUCAUGUCCCAUCACCGAAGCCCAGCACCAACUUCCGGGAAGAGAUGCUGAUAGCGGCCCCUCUUGUGGCACUUGGGCCUCGCUGGCCACACAGGUGGCCGCAUCGUGGUUGGCUCCUGCUCUUCCCAUCCUCUAGGGCCUGUCCUCCCUUCAGAGAUCUCCCCAGAGGCCAAAGCACCUUUGGAGAGAAGCAGCUGUCUUCACAUCAUGUCCAUCCGCAGUCUGUCAAGAAAGCGUGGCCAGGACGUGGCACCACAGUUAACCUGUCUCACUAAGUAACACCCUUGCAGAUGACAGGGUGCCAGCCGCAGGAGAGGCACAACUGUGGGAGCACCUCCCAGGAUUUCUGAGCUGCAGAGAGAAAGCAGGCUGCGUGUUCUGUGUAGGACAUGUGCCACCCGACCCAUGGACCCUCAGAAAACCUCUCCAGCCCAGAGGACCUCCUGGAAGGGACUCUGAUUUUGAGUCACCUGUGUAAAGACCAGUUGUUCCCUGAUGUCUUCGUUUUAGGCCUGAGGAAACAUGAGAGGUACAGUUCUCUUUCAGAAGCGAACCCCAUCGGAGGGCUCCUGAACCGUGCCGGUAAGCUCAGGGAGUACCACUGUCCCCCGCACCACCCAGGUGCGUCCCAGGCAGGCCCAGAGGGAGCGCGAUGUCUUCAAUGGCAUCUGUUCUCCACGUUACACCUUCACCUUCGAUUUCCUUUGCAGAAGGACGCCCCGCAGCCGGAGGAGCCGCCGGGUCGCAGAAGCUGGUCUGAGAUGUUCGAAAGGAGGUUGUCCGUGAUGUAUUUGCUUUGUUUAUGGCAGAUAUUGCACGGUUGAUCUCUUUUCAUCAUCAAAUGCCUUCUCGAAGGAUGCGCUGCACGCGGUGUCAGGGUCAGGAGCGGGAGGGAAUGGUAGCCUCUAAAGGUGUGGGAACAGAUGGUUAACCAGAUGGCAAGUGUUGUGUUUUAUUUUUCUAUUCUGAGAAUUAAUAAUUUACUUAAUGCAUCACCAUAUAAUUUUGUUUUUAAGGUAAAUCUGUAAAUGUGAAAAAUUAAGUUCUGUGAAACCAAAAAAUGACAAAGAAAUGUGAACAAAAACAUGUUUAAUACGGUUUUCAGAUUUUUAGAAGAAUCUAGAAAUAUACACUAAAUCGCUUCCUUGGUGUUCCAAAGUUUAACCCAUUUCCCGUUUAGAAAGAAAAAAGGGCAGCUCGCUGCCAGUGUUAAUUUAGCAUCACACGUAGGAAUGUAUGUUUUGUAGGAUUGAACAUUUUCGGCGAUCGAGAAUUACUAUAUUUUGUAAAUAGUAGUACUACUAUUAAAAACAGAACACUAGAAAUGGAAUGAUGUCGUUCGAUUCCAAAGACUAUCGAUAUACUAGAGCGAUGCAAAAAUAAUAACAAAAGCGAGCUGUUUCGUGGCAGACUUUGGGGGUGAGGUUAGGGCUGUAAUCCGCGAGUCAUCUCGGGGUAAACGCUGCAGCCGCAAGCGCCGCUGCCCGCGAGGGUUGGGCGAGUGUUCUCGGGGCAAACGGGAAAUGAGUUAACCUCUGAAAGAACAGAUAAGACAAAGAUGUACGCUGAAAAAAUUAAAAUGACAGAUGCUGGACGAUCAUGGGAAUUUUUAUGAACAUGUCGCAGGCGUAUGAUGUUUUUGUACAUAACUUAUUUUAAUGUGACUUUGUUUUAAUCACUUUUUUUUUUGAAGGGAAAAUACC